rnacentral:sRNA from 1 species
AAGUUUUCUGCCCCAUUGGAUAUCAGGCUAAUUUCCAGCUUCUGGUGAUUGCAGAUCCAGUUCCGUUUGAAACUGUGGCCAAUUUGGUCUACUUGGUCCAAGUUGCCCAGGGUCCCACAACCCACAGAAGCCCUUCCUUCUUCCAGAACUUGGUCCCCAUCUUCACAGCAGAGUUACCCAUAGUGCUCAAGAAAGGAGAAAAAUAGUCUUCCAUUGGCAUUGAAGAGAGUCGAGGGAAGAGGCUCCUAAGACGCAAAGUCCUGGGAAAGAAGACCCGCCCCUAAGCUUCUCCUCCCCAUGGUCGACCACGGCCGGUUCCUGGAGUGCCAGGAUGGUUUGCUCUACUCCAUCUACAGCAUGUGAAGUGGAACCUGCUUGCAGGGAGGAAAUGCAUGUCAGGGCGGUGGUGGGGAAUUGCCUGAGGAGUCUUGGUGCCCUGAUUCCAGAGAACUUUGCUGGUCCUCUGGUUUUGUAACCCUAUUUCUCGGUGAUGGCACUUUGGCCAGGUGAGUAAGGGGAAGUGGUUUGGAGCUGUCUCACCAUCAAUGGGUGCAAUCCAGGUUGCCAUCCCCUCCUACCUAGACAUACAUGUCACUGAUAUUACAGGCCUAGGAAGUCUGCCCAUUAAAACAGUGACAAUGAGACAAAUAUACAGUAUGGAAAAAAGCAAAUUCCCGCUGAGAAUCAAAAUAAUGAGUGUGGUCCUUGCAGAGACUAAAACAGGCACAAGCAAGCCCUUUCUGUUCAAGUGCAGGCAGCUCUUAACCAUCCUUGGGAUGAACAAAGUGAUAAAGUUCCUUGCCACGGAGAUUUCCUAAGGAAAGAAGAGGCAGCAUUUCCUCAUCACAUAUGCCUAUCAGGGCAGGGUCCUCGGGAGAGGUCUGUAUUUUAACUCAGUUUCUGACAUUGCUGUGGCUAUGCCAAGUGGACAGCUCUACUUCCAGUCCUCCAGAGACUACACUUCCCACGUGAAGCCAUUUGCAUCAUUCACAGCCAUUGUUUCCUUGCUCUGAAGAAGGGUGUGGUUUCUGCCAAAAUUCAAGGUGAGCUACACAGAGUCGAAGUCCUAACGUGCCAGAACAUUACCACCAAAACCAUAGUCCAGCUUCUCCUGUUUGCAGAAGGAGACUUCUGGGAACUGGUUGAUGAUGCUGGGCCAGGGCUCCUGCAGGAGCUGUGUGAAGUCAGAAGACUCCUGUGCCAUGUCAGAGUGACCAGUCUGGAUCCCUCCAUGGCCAGAGACCCCCUGUAUGGGACUGAGGAUCUGUGGGUUGAAAAUGUCAUCAUUGAACAAUGCCUUGUAGCCACAGAUGAGACUUUGCCAGAAGACAUACACACAGAUUUCUCAGAAGACGUAUACUUGAGCUUGUCAGAAGACUCAUUUGAAAUCCCAGUUGAGAAGAUGAGCUCAAUGGUGUUGGUAGUUGAAGAGCACUCAUGGAUGACAGAUGCCAGGAAGGAGCCCAGCUUGGCUGUCCAUGACAUAGAAGAGAUAAAUGAGGCAGAGUCCCUGACCUCUAGUAAUUAUAUGAUUGUUCCCCAACCACCACCAUGCCCUCCAAAGCCCAGAAGUUUGUCUUACAA